AACUGCCAAGACCCAUUUAAUCUGUCAGGCUGGCCAAAACAGUUAUUAUAUUCACAAUGCACAAAUGAUCUGCUCCUUCUUUACAUUCAAAUUGAACUCAAGGUGUUGACAUCGCUCUUUAAAAGCCAUGGAUGGAAUCCUGAUCUCAGGGAAGUAUGUGGGAACAUUGUAAUGAAAGAUUUCACUCCAGUGUGGUUCCAGAGAUACACACCUCCCUAAAACUUUCCUAGAGGGGAAAGAGAUUUUGAAAUCUCUGAAAGGCUUGUAGCAUUGUUUUGCUUUGUCCCAAGCUCUACUGCCUUUUGCAUAUUUUCUCAGUUUUGAAGAGAGCUUGGGAAAGUCUUCCUGGAGCUGAUAUGUUAAAAGACUAACUCUUGCAUUUCAGUGUCUCCAGCAGCUCCUGCAGUUAUCUGAGCUCAGUUCUGGGCUCUGCCUCAAAUGUGUUCUCCUCCUCAGUUUUCCAAUCUUAAAACACAGCUGAUAAUGCUUCCUUUUUUAUGUGUCAUGUCCUCUCUACAGAGACCAUCAGGUCCAAGAAAGGGUUUCUGCUACAAGGCACUGUUUGUUCUGUGCCUACAACACAGGGCUGAGAACCCACUUAAGGCUUUAGGGGUACUGGGCUCUAAGCCAAGAUUCUAAUAAUCUUGGCUUUUGGUUCAAACAAAAGUUCUCUCUCCUCGCAGGCCAUCAUAGUCAUUUAUUUUGCCCUGUGGUGAAGUUAAUGCUACAUCUGUGAUGUCACCAUUGUUUCCAUGGCAACAAGUUUAUGACUUCAACGUAAAGUCAAAUGGAAGGAGAAGCUCAGGGACAUGAACGAAAGCUCUUACUCAAAUCAGAAACAGCUGACAGAAUAACAGAGAAAUGGCCAAGAAGGCAAUUCAGGAAUAGACUGCUAAUUAGAAGAAUAACAAUGAAGUUAAUCUCACAGCCUAGGAGCAGAGAUGCCCCUAAAGAAAGACUAGAAAAGUCAAAUGAAGAGAGAUCUUUGGAAAUGAAUGAAAUUUUCUACUGAAGAACAGAAAAUCGCGUCUACUUUGAGGACUUCAGGAGCCAGCAGCACAAAGCUGGUGAUUGAUUGAAGACUUGCACGUUGGCGUGUUACAGGGCAUAGCUCUACAUUUGCACUGUGUACAUGGAGACUUAAAAGCCAGAAGAAUUACUCCAGCUUCUCAUGACAUCUUAUAGGGCAGCUUGGAUACAGAAUUAGGUCUGGUCAGUACUUAAUUUUGUUGUAAGUGACUGCCUGACCAGCAAGUAGGAUAAAUGAUGCCACUGGGACUGAAAUGUAUCCUAAAAUUAAUCAUUUGCUUAAUGGCUUUCCAUUAAAGCUAGGUUUAAAUACACAUUUAAGGAUAUUUUCUGAUGCAGACUUGGGGCAGAGAAGAUCCUGGCAGAGAAAGAUUCUAGGCAAGAAAGAUAUACAUUGUGCCAUGUGUACUUUACAAUCAAAGACUAUAUAUUUGAUAUAUUUUUAAAUCCUAUAUACAGUCAAUUGGUAAAAGCAAUUAAAUCUUAGCCCUGUAAGCUCUUCAGGAGAAGGAAUGAGCCUUUGUUUGAGAUUUACAAGGCAUUUAAUAGAGCAGAAACCAACACUAUAAAAAUAAAUAUGAUAAUGUAUUUUUAAAACCCCUAAGU
ensembl:lncRNA